rnacentral:rRNA from 1 species
GUGGGGAAUAUUGGACAAUGGGCGCAAGCCUGAUCCAGCCAUGCCGCGUGAGUGAAGAAGGCCCUCGGGUUGUAAAGCUCUUUGAGCGGGGAGGAAGGUUCGCAACUUAAUACGUUGUGGAAUUGACGUUACCUGCAGAACAAGCACCGGCUAACUCUGUGCCAGCAGCCGCGGUAAUACAGAGGGUGCGAGCGUUAAUCGGAAUUACUGGGCGUAAAGCGUGCGUAGGCGGCUUCUUAAGCUGGAUGUGAAAUCCCCGGGCUUAACCUGGGAACUGCAUUCAGAACUGGGAAGCUGGAGUCUGUGAGAGGGUGGUGGAAUUUCCGGUGUAGCGGUGAAAUGCGUAGAUAUCGGAAGGAACAUCAGUGGCGAAGGCGACCACCUGGCAUAAGACUGACGCUGAGGCACGAAAGCGUGGGGAGCAAACAGGAUUAGAUACCCGAGUAGUCC